CGUUGCAUAAUAUUUACUAGAAAUUGCAUAAUGGAAGCGUAACGCGUAUUGCCGUCAAAUGUAGUUGUUUAAAAAUAAUUAUUUUCGUAUACAGCCACACUUUCGAACACGAGGUUAACACGUGGUAACUGGAUAUUUUAUGUUAACUUAGGGGAAUAAUUAUAAUUAAAUUGCGAUGGUGCAACGUCCUUCGUAUCUAUAUGUGACAUAUAACGAUUGCGAGACGAUGAGUAAAUACUUUUGAAUGAAAUAAUAACUGAUAUGCUGAAACGAGGGAGACAAAUAAAUUCGUCUGGAGAGUGACUUUACGCUAAUGUGUACUUAUAAUGUCCAGGAUUGGCUGGAUACAUAACAGUCUAGAAGACGAUUACACUUCCUCUUCAAAUUCUGUCAUGGAUUUAGUGCACGGCUAUCCUCUCCUGAAGUCGUUUCUUGCGGGAGCAUUGAGUGGAACUUGCUCAACUCUUCUCUUUCAACCUCUUGAUUUAGUUAAAACUAGGAUACAAAAUGCCUCUUCAAGAGGAUCACAUAAAGGAAUGAUGAGCCUCAUGAUACAAGUUGCCAAAGAUGAAAGACUUCUUGGUUUAUGGAGAGGAACAGUUCCUUCCAUAUCGAGGUGCAUUCCUGGUAUUGGGAUGUAUUUUUGUUCAUUACAUUGGAUCCAAACUUCUUUUAACCUUGGAAAUCCGUCUCCUAUCGAAGCAGUUUGCUGUGGAGUGAUGGCAAGGACCCUAGCUGGAUCGACGUUGCUUCCUUUCACAGUCAUUAAAACGCGAUUUGAGAGUGGAGUCUACCGGUACGGCAGUUUGACAGAAGCAUUAAAAGUAAUAUAUAGGACAGAAGGAACUCGAGGUUUAUUCAGUGGUUUAAUUCCAACUCUCUUUCGUGAUGCGCCAUUCUCUGGAAUAUAUCUUAUGUUUUAUACGCAGACAAAAACAUUAAUUCCCAAAGAUUGGAAAGAAGGAUCGAGUAAAGCUCCAGCUGAUUUUGGAUGUGGACUUGCAGCAGGAUUGUUAGCUUCUUUUGUUACUCAACCUCCAGAUGUAAUCAAAACACAAAUGCAAUUAUAUCCAAAAAAAUUUGGACGCUUAAAGUCAGCAAUAAUUUUUAUUUAUCAGGAAUACGGACUUUCUGGAUUUUUCAAAGGAAUAGUUCCUCGUAUCGUUCGCAGGUCGUUAAUGUCGGCAACUGCUUGGACCAUUUACGAACAAGUGACCAGGAAUAUGGGAUUGAAAUGAAAUGAAAGUGUGCCUUAGUAUUAUUUUUGAGUUUACAAGCAUUACAGUAGUUUGAAAUAAGUUUGCGCUCGAACUAUUAUCUAAAAGACGACGAUUACAAAAUAUUCUGGAUACAUAAUAUCUAAAUGUAAUUUCUUCUAUGAAGAAAGCUUGUCUCCAUAAAUGGAUUUCAUAAAUAAAUAAUAUCUAUAACAUUGUAGCACUCUACAACUACUAGCGCCGUAUCUGUGAUUGAAUAAAAUAUUGUUUUCUAAA
rnacentral:misc_RNA from 1 species